GUGACGGUGAUCAACCGGACCAAGGAGACGCUGCAGAACCUGUGCCUGGAGCUGGCCACCAUGGGGGACCUCAAGCUGGUGGAGCGGCCGCAGAACUACAUCCUGGCCCCCGAGUCGAGCCGGCAGAUCCGCGCCAACAUCAAGGUCUCCUCCACCGAGACCGGCGUCAUCUUCGGCAACAUCGUCUACGAGACCUCCAACGUGCUCGAGCGCAACGUCGUCGUCCUCAACGACAUCCACAUCGACAUCAUGGACUACAUCUCCCCCGCCACCUGCGCCGACGUCGCCUUCCGCAACAUGUGGGCCGAGUUCGAGUGGGAGAACAAGGUCACCUCGCUCUCUCCCUCAUUCUCUCUAUCUUAUUUCUCUCUCCCUUAUUCUCUCUCUUCAUCUUUCAUCUACUUGGUGUCGUCUGGUGGAUGGGUCUCAGGUGGCGGUGAACACGACCAUCCAAGACGAGAAGCAGUUCCUGGAGCACAUCAUCAAAUCGACCAACAUGAAGUGCCUGACCCCGCCGUAAUCUCCCUCUCUCUGUCUCUAUCUCUCUGUUUCUCUCUCUCUCGCUAGCCCUUUGAUCCGAUGAUGAUGAUGAUGAUGAUGAUGGUGAUGGUGAUGCUCUUCUUGGUGGUUGGAUGUGUGGCCUGCGCAGGUCGGCGCUGGACGGGGAGUGCGGGUACCUGGCGGCGAACCUGUACGCGAAGAGCGUCUUCGGGGAGGACGCGCUGGUGAACGUGAGCAUCGAGCGGCAGGGCGACGGGAAGCUGAGCGGGUACAUCAGAAUAAGGAGCAAGACGCAGGGGAUCGCCCUCAGCCUCGGCGACAA
rnacentral:lncRNA from 1 species